GUGGUGUGUUAAAGUGGGAAGCCUCAUUUGCUCUGUAUCUAGGGGAGGAAGAGAACGAACCUGGCUGAGGUCUCCUGUGGCGAGGAGGAGGCUUCAUUCUUUGUAACAAGCAAAAGCUACAGAAACACCUUGGCUCUUGCUGGUGCUGAGGUAGUGUAGCUAGUCUGUAGCGUCCACGGGAAGCCUCCCUGGGAGGUGGGUGAGCUGCUGUUCUUCAGACAGCCUGGGGUCAGUGAAAAUGUUUGUCGGAUAACUAUGUUGCACUAAGUAGAUCGAUUGCUGUCUUGUUUAUUUUGUUACCACUUGGGUCUGUGGAAUUGAACAGGGUUUCCUCUGUUUUCUCGGUGCCUUCAAACCAGCUUCCUACUGUUGAUAGGAGUGAUUCCUCAAAAGCGAAUCUUCUGUUAACUCAGCUUAAAAUAUUGCUGGAACCUGUGCUUGACCCAGGCUUAAGUCCAUUUCCCUGUUGGGCCUACCAGGUCCUUCUGGCCUGACACCUGCCCGAGUUCCAGCCUCUUCUUUUUUCUACACUCUGUCUCCAUGCCCAUGUUUAGAGACUUGUGGUUUCUGACUACAGUGUUCCUCCUCAUUGUUCCUGUUCUAUUUCAGGAAACUCCUGCCUAUUUCUGUGUCUUUGCUCCUGCUCCUUACCCCUUAUUUGUAAGGCCCAGCCUUGAAGAAUUGCUUGAGGGCUGGAGAGAUGGCUCAGUGGUUAAGAGUACUGACUGCACUUCCAGAGGUCCUGCAACCACGUGGUGGCUCACAACCAUCUGUAAUGGGAUCCGAAGCCUCCUGGUGUGUCUGAAGAGACUGACAGUAAAACUCACAUAAAAUAAAUAAUUG
rnacentral:lncRNA from 1 species